rnacentral:rRNA from 1 species
UACGAAGGGGGCUAGCGUUGUUCGGAUUUACUGGGCGUAAAGCGCACGUAGGCGGAUCGUUAAGUCGGGGGUGAAAUCCUGGAGCUCAACUCCAGAACUGCCUUCGAUACUGGCGAUCUUGAGUCCGGAAGAGGUGAGUGGAACUCCUAGUGUAGAGGUGGAAUUCGUAGAUAUUAGGAAGAACACCAGGUGGCGAAGGCGGC